CAGUCAGGAAAUUUGGUCACAGGCCACCUCUGCCUUGGCAGCUGUUUGACUUCUCAGAUUAGAUUUCUCCUCUAUGAAAUGGAAAUAAUAGUACCAAUCUCACAGAUUUCUUAUGAAGAUGAAAUGAGAUAAUUUCCAGCAGGAGGGACAGAACCACAAUUUGGUAGUAGGGAGACCUUCAACCGAAGUAACCAUGUACACUGGAAACCAAGAAAUCACCUCUAUUAUCUAGAAGUUAUUGGCCUCGUGCUCAUCUCGCAAAUUCAGGUGCCCUAUAUGUGCCAGAUAAGCUCAUCUUUAUCUGGGGAACAUGUAGAACUACGAUGAAGUAAAGGGAGAUGGAAGAAAAUUUAAUAGUUUAAGAGUAUGUCUUAUAAAAUAAUAGGUUUCAUAUUUGCCAAUGGCUGGUGAUCUCUGCAGACGGAGCCCUUGGUUUCAAGUAAAACACCUCAACCGUUUACAAGAAGGAAAGCUAUCCAUGGAAGGAGUGAUCUGCAAUUUACAUAUUCCAGGACUGAAAGUCUACAGUUGCUGAUAAAAUAUACAUCUGUAUGUAAUAAAUAAGAAUUAUGUCUAAGAGAAUGUCAUGGUUAGGGAGUUUAAAAUGAUGUAUCAAAAGGAAGUAGAAAUACAACCUGAGCAAUUAGAGAAGGCUUCACAGAGAAGUUUGGGACCCCUGAUCUAGUCUUAUCACCCAUUUUACAGAUGGGGAAACUGAGAUCUAUAAGGUUAAAUUACUGACUCAGAGUCCUACAGCUUAUAAUUGGUGACCAACCCCCACUUCUCACCCCUCAGUCCCUUCUGUGCUCCACCGCAUGCUGCCCACUCACCAUUUGUCCAGAGGCAGCCUUGCCUCUGCCUUUGUCUUUUGUUGGCCUUGAAGUUUGCCAUGAGGACAAAGCCUGGAAAAGGAUGAGAACAAAUAGCACAUUCUCCUAAGCAUUCUCCACAGUGCACAAUAUCAGUUGUCCUGAGAGGGUUUUGAUAUGGGCUGAAAAUAUUGUUUUGUCUUAAAUCUUGGAAAAAAUUCUCGUUGCAUGGAAUUUUUUUCUCCAGAAUUAAUCAUGGGUAGCAUACUCUUUAUCCUUGUUCUUUGACGAACCAGAAAACAAAAUAGCCAUUGAAGGCACUCUUUGUUUACACCCAGGGACUAAUGAUGUUGUGUACUCCUCCCACCAAGCAGCCCUAGAGUACUGGUCUCUCUGAAGAGCACUGAGUGCCCAGAGUGCUGACUAAGCCCAUCCCAACCCCAACUUUUGCCAAGGAGACAAUUCUCUGACUGUUCUUGAGCUUGGUGAUAUCAAAUAUUCUCAACAAGUUCUUCCAAUUUCUGUUUUUAAAAUAAAAAUCAAAAGGCCAGCACAUUCCUUUUAUGUUUGUGCAAAUGAAGCAGAGGCAAGAAGCUGGUGAAACUAGCUAAAGCCUUUUG
rnacentral:lncRNA from 1 species